GGGGCAAAUCGGGUGAUCGCCCCGCAGGGGCGGGGAGGAAAGUCCGAACUCCACAGGGCAGGGUGCCCGGAGAGAAUCCGGGACUCGAAAAGCGUAAGCUUUUCGGGAUGGAAAGUGUCACAGAAACGAUACCGCCUCCUGCCGUUUGAAGCACCCGUUUCCCGAAAGCGGGUGGGCAGGAGGUAAGGGUGAAAAGGCGGGGUAAGAGCCCACCGGCUGGCUCCCGAGAGGGAGAUUCCCCCGUGCAGGGGAAUGUGGUAACACCCAGGCCGGACAAACCCCACCCGGAGCAAGGCCAAAUAGGGGAGGAACCCUCCCAAUGGAGGGGCGAAGUGGCCCGCUUCGCCGGGACAAUGGUCCCACCACUCCCGGGUAGGCCGCUUAGAUAAAUGAUCACCCUCCCGUGGUACGGGAGACAGAAUUCGGCUUACAGAUUUGCCCCGGAU
rnacentral:RNase_P_RNA from 1 species